GAUGAACGCUAGCUACAUGCUUAACACAUGCAAGUCGAGCGACCGGCGCACGGGUGAUUAACACGUAUCCAACCUCCCCUUUACUCGGGGAUAUCCUUUCGAAAGAAUGAUUAAUACCCGAUAUAAAGGAUGGGUAUGCGUUCCAUUAGGUUGUUGUUGAGGUAACGGCCAGCCAGGCCUUUGAUGGAUAGGGGUUCUGAGAGGAAGGUCCCCCACAUUGGAACUGAUACACGAUCCAAACUCCUACAGGAGGCAGAAGUGAGGAAUAUUGGUAAAUGGGCGUUAGACUGAACCAUCCAAGUAGCGUGAAGGAUGAAGGCUUAUUGGUCGUAAACUUCUUUUAUAUAAGAAUAGGUAUUAUAUGAAUAAGGAUCGGCUAACUCCGUGCCAGCAGCCGCGGUAAUAC
rnacentral:rRNA from 1 species